rnacentral:rRNA from 1 species
AGUGAACGCUGGCGGUAGGCCUAACACAUGCAAGUCGAACGGCAGCACAGUAAGAGCUUGCUCUUACGGGUGGCGAGUGGCGGACGGGUGAGGAAGACAUCGGAAUCUACUUUUUCGGGGGGGCUAACGUAGGGAGACUUACGCUAAGACCGCAUAUGACCUACGUGUGAAAGCAGGGGAUCUUCGGACCUGUCGCGAUUGAAUGAGCCGAUGUCGGAUUAGCUAGUGGGGGGGGUAAAGGCGCACCAAGGCGACGAUGCGUAGCGGGUCUGAGAGGAACGACAGCCACACUGGAUGUGAGGAACGGUCCAGACACCUGGACGAGGACGCGGCGCGGAAUCCUGGAGGAUGGAGGAAAGGGUGAUCCAGCCAUACCGGGGGAAUGCAGAAGGCCUCCGGGUUGUAAAACCAUGUUGUUCUGAAGGAAGAACAACUCGUUCAUACCGCACGAUAAUGACGGUACCCAAAGAAUAAGCCCCGGCUAACUUCGUG